rnacentral:rRNA from 1 species
GAUGAACGCUGGCGGCGUGCUUAACACAUGCAAGUCGAACGGAAAGGCCCAAGUUUGCUUGGGUGCUCGAGUGGCGAACGGGUGAGUAACACGUGGGUGAUCUGCCCUGCACUUUGGGAUAAGCCUGGGAAACUGGGUCUAAUACCGGAUAGGACCACUUCUUGGAUGUUGUGGUGGAAAGUUUUUCGGGUGUGGGAUGGGCUCGCGGCCUAUCUGCUUGUUGGUGGGGUAAUGGGCUUCCAAGGCGUCGUCGGGUGGCCGGGCCGGGAGGGUGUACGGGCACAUUUGGGACUGGGAACGGCCCAAGCUCCUUCGGGGGGGAAGAGUGGGGGAAAUUUCACAAAGGGGGCGAGGCUGAAGCAGGGACGGCGGGGGGGGGGAGACGGCCUUCGGGGUGGAAACUCCCUUCGCUAGGGACGGAGCGGUGUGUGACGGUACUGGGUAAAGAAGCACCGGCUAACUACGUG